UACGGAGGGAGCUAGCGUUGUUCGGAAUUACUGGGCGUAAAGCGCGCGUAGGCGGCUACUCAAGUCGGGGGUGAAAGCCCGGGGCUCAACCCCGGAACUGCCCUCGAAACUAGGUAGCUAGAAUCUUGGAGAGGUCAGUGGAAUUCCGAGUGUAGAGGUGAAAUUCGUAGAUAUUCGGAAGAACACCAGUGGCGAAGGCGACUGACUGGACAAGUAUUGACGCUGAGGUGCGAAAGCGUGGGGAGCAAACAGG
rnacentral:misc_RNA from 1 species